CAUGCUACACAGCAACAGCACACUUGGCUACUUGCAAACUGUGAAGACGUUGAUACUUGAUAGUUACCUGUGGUCUUAUUAAAGUGCUUAUUAGUUCAAAAGUGAUCAAAAUGGCUGUGAGUGUUUGACUUGGUGUAAAAAAAAAUGUAAAAUAUGAUCUCCUCAACCAACUAAAGCACAAUACUAUAAUUUGAUAAAUUCUAUCCUAUGGGAAAAGUGAAAGCCAUGCUUGUGUGAUUCAGUAUGGUAGACUUUGAACUAGAAUAUUAUACUGUGCUAAGUGAAGGAGUAAUAAGACCGCAGACUAGUUAGCCCAACACACCAAAAUCAGCAUUCUCAGGAUUCUCGCUGUAAAAUUUCCAAACUGUGCAUCACAGUUCACAGACAGUGAUUGUGAGUAAUAUAAACAGUGUAGCACUGUGAGGCUCUACUGCCACGAGGAAGUUCAGCUGAAAGAAAGUUACCUCCACCACCAAGUCAAGAUAACACCGUCGAUUAUACGUCCUUCAAAGGGCUCAGCCACUUUCCAUGUUCCGUUUGCAACCGGGACCACAUCCAGAUGAGCAGCCAACAUGUAAGGAGCUUCAGGGUGGGGUGGGGGGACUAUGGGGGUAUCAGGGAUAUGUCAGGGAACAUGAGGCGCAAGGAGUGAAAGAUAAAGAAGAAUGAGAGAGGUACCGAGAAGAGUGAUCCAAUGAUCCGCACGCUCCAUUUAGACGCUGAAGAACGUGGGAGCGUUGUGCCGGCACUUUUCUCUCUCUUGGAAGUU